AACUAAUUUCGACUACAAGUGGUCGAAAUAAUUAAGUCAAAUUUGGUCAAAUAUGACUUAAUUAUUUUCGACCGCAUGUGGUCGAAAAUUCAAACCCCAUCGGGUCACUUUCUUUUUAUUUUUCUCCUUCUCUUUCUCUCUCCUUAAUUCCUCCUCCCUCUCCUCUCUACGCAGCCCACCACCCCACCUCCUUAUACGCUCAAUGCCGCACGCCACCGCCGUUUCCGACCAGCAGUCGAAAAUCCCAACCAGACGCCACCGCCGUUUUUGACAAGCUCAGGCGAUAACAGCUGCAUUUUUGUCAGCGGUCAGUGAUAUAGUGUCUCAGAAGAUUACUGGCAUUAAGAGACUUCAAAUUAGACGCCUUCUUCUGAAAGUGCUUUUUGGCUUUGCCUAUCUUGGACCAUUCGGGCAUUUUUUUCACUUAUUGCUGGACAAACUUUUCAAGGGGAAGAAAGACACAACAACUGUUGCAAAAAAGCCCUUGAAAGCAUAGAUGUUGCUGAUGAUGGCGCAGUUGAUCCUAAGGAGUAUGAAGCUAUGAAGCAUCAAGUUGCUUAGCUAACAAGAACACUUAAUUCCUCGGAGGCUCGGAUGUUGGGUAUGCAAGCCUAAAUUAAUAGUUUAUGAUGGAUAUGUUUAAAUGGAUAUGUAUAUUAUCUUUAAGGGUUUGAAUGUAGUUUUAGUUCGAAUUAGAAGUACUUUUAAGUUUAUAAUGUUUAAGUGUUUGAAUGAUGUUUAUGAUGUUUAAGUGUUUGAAUGUAGUUUAUGAUGUUUAAGUGUUUGAAUGUAGUUUUAAUUUUAAGUACUUUGAGGUUGAAUUUGAUUGUUUAUAAGUGUUUGAAUGGACAAUGUUUAAGUGUUCAAGUGUUUGAACAUUGUUUA